AUGGAUUUCGUGGAGGGGCUGCCGAAGUCUGAAGGCGCCGACGCAAUCAUGGUCGUCAUCGAUCGGCUGACCAAGUACGCGCACUUCGUGCCGCUUCGUCAUCCCUUCACCACCGUUCAGGUCGCGCGCGCCUUCUGGGAGCACAUCAUCAAGCUCCACGGAGUCCCACAUUCGAUCGUCUCCGACCGCGACAAGAUCUUCACAAGCACGAUGUGGCACGAAUUGCUCGCCGCCGCGGGAACCAAGCUACUCUACUCAAUCGCGUACCACCCCCAGACGGAUGGCCAAACUGAGCGCGUCAAUCAAUGCCUGGAGAUGUACCUGCGGUGUGUAGUCCACGACACGCCGCGGCAAUGCCGCAAGUGGCUACCGGCGGCAGAGUUCUGGUACAAUUCAGCGCAUCACGCCUCCCUGAAUUGCUCUCCUUUCAAGGAACUGUAUGGAAGAGAGCCCAAUUUGGGGGGAUUACCUCACCUGAGCACCGCGCUCCCCGGCGACGCGGCGUCCGACGAUCUGGACUAG
rnacentral:rRNA from 1 species